rnacentral:lncRNA from 1 species
UGAGACCAUAAACAAUUUUAGAUUAAUACUAAUAAAUAAAUAAAUUUGAUGAUUUGGAAACUGUGCAACCUAACAUAUAUAUAAUAAUUUAACAAGUUAAGAAACCAAGAUGAAUGUUUUAUCUGACUAUGCUUAAAAGAUCUAAUUGUGCACAUGUGGAAUAUGUCUCGAGAAAGUAAAAUGCCGCGAAAGUUCUAUUCAAACUUGUGUCUGGAUGAUUGUACAUUUCUUCGCAAG